rnacentral:tRNA from 1 species
AAGAUUUUAAGUUAAUAAAACUAUAAUUUUUCAAAGAUUAACAUAAAGAUACUAAAAAUCAAUUCUUUAAAUCUUG